GGGAGGGGGUGACUAGUGACAGAAUGAGGGAGGGGGUGACUAGUGACAGAGGGAGAUGGUGAUUAGUGACAGAGUGAGGGAGGUGGUGACUGUCACUAGUCAACCCAUCCUUCCCUCUGUCACUAGUCACCCACUCCCGCACUCUCACUAGUCACCCCAUCCCUCCCUCUGUCACUGUGUCACCCCAUCCCUCCCUCUGUCACUGUGUCACCCCAUCCCUCCCUCUGUCACUAGUCACCCCAUCCCUCCC
rnacentral:sRNA from 1 species